CAUGCCAAAAGGAAAGUCUACUGUUUAGGCAGUUAUUCUCCACUCCACACUCUGAGCUUCUGGCGACCACAUAUCUGCUCUCUGUUUCAUGGGUUUGUUUAUUUUGGAUGUUUCACAUACCUGGAAUCAUACAGUAUAUGGCUUUUCAUGUCUGGAUUCUUUCACUCAGCGUAAAGUUUUUGAGGUUCAUCCAUGUUGUAGCAGGUAUCGGUACUUCUUUCUUUUUAUGGCCAAAUAAUAUGUAUUCCACUGCAUGGAUUCACAACAUUUGGUGUGUCCAUUCAUUGCUGAUGGACAUUUGAAUUGUUUCCAUGGUUUGGCUAUUGAGAACAGGGAUACUAUGACCAUUCUUAUGAAAUUUCCCCUUCAACUCCCAUUGGACAGGACUGGGCCACAUAUCCACACCCUGACUUCAAGGAGGCUUAGAAAUUGAGUAUGGGGAUUUUCAACUUUUCUUGGAACGUGAGGAAGGCUAUGCUGGCAGAAAAUUUGGACCUGAUAUCUUCCAUUUCUGCCAAGAUAUACCAACGCAAGUAGGUUGAGCCUUGCAGGAGAGCCUCAAAUACAUCAGGUGGCCUGGUUCAGGAAGCUUCUUUGUCCCCCAUGGGCUCAAAACUCUCCCUUCCUCCCUCACUCAAAGACACCAAGGUAGCUAGGGGUCACCAAUAGGGAGAUCCUAACCACAUCUCUCACUUACCAGUAGCUAUCUGGUGGCCUGGCCUGGGGCAACUGCUUUUGUCCUGUCAGACGGCACCAGAGGUACCUGAUAAACCAAGCA